AGUGAAAUGAAUGUCGAAAAGGGUUGUAGCUGGCCUCUUGAGGCAUGUGCACACCUUGAUCGCACAUCCACAUCUCACACCUGUGCACAACCUGUAGCUUGGGAUGAUUACAAUGCUGGGAACAGUGUUGAAAGCCCUUGCUAUGAAAUUUUACACACACAUAUUAAAAGUUAUAGAAUGUUAUAUAGCGUGUAACAGCGCAAAUAAAUAUACAACUUUCAGCAACGGAUCUCUUGGCUCUCGCAUCGAUGAAGAACGCAGCGAAAUGCGAUAAGUAAUGUGAAUUGCAGAAUUCAGUGAAUCAUCGAAUCUUUGAACGCACCUUGCGCUCCUUGGUAUUCUGAGGAGCAUGCCUGUUUGAGUGUCAUGAAAUUCUCAACUGCUUCAACUUUUGUGGUUGAAGUGAAGUUGGACUUGGAGGAAUCAUUGCUGGCGUGACCUUUUAGGUUGCUUGUUAGCUCCUCUUAAAUGGAUGAACUUUCCAUUUACAAAGUAACAUCAAUGUGAUAAUUAUCUACGUUGGAUGAGUUUGUACAAGGAAAGGUAUAUCUUGGAGUUCAAAUCCUUGAUGAAACAAAUGACAAAUUUGACCUCAAAUCAGUAGGACUAC
rnacentral:rRNA from 1 species